CAAGAUCUCUGUGUCCUAGUAUUCACGUCCUUGUGUGAGCACCUCUCUUGAAUGUGGGCUAGGCUCAGUCAACCACUUCUAGAGAAUGGGACAUGUGAAAAGGGAAAGGAUGUCAUUUCUGAGAUUAGCUUAUAAAGGACAUAACUUCUGUCCGCAUGCAGCCUGUCUCAUAUGGCGUUUUUGCUUGCCUACAAGGAUGGAUCAAGCUGUCCUAUUGGGAACUGCCCUAUGGAGAAUGCCACAGGACAAGGAAGUAGGGAUGAUUCCCAGCUGCUGAAGAACUGAGAACUUUAGUCCUUGCGGAGCUGAUUCCUUCCAGCAACCACGUGAGUGCACUCAGAAGCAGAUUCUGUUCCCACUUAAGCCUUGGAUGCCUGCAGCCCUGGGUAACACCUUGGCUACCUUCUAUGGGGCACCCUGAAGCAGAAGACCCAGUUAAGCUCUGCUUGGAUAUUCCUGACCUAUGAAGCUGUGGGACGAUACAUGCUCGUUGUCACUAUGGUUCAUUCAGCCACUAUGCUCAGAGAGAAUUUGUUAUGUGGCAACAAAUGACACGAGCUAUAUGUGAAAACAGAAAGGAUCCUUUUGUGUCACUGUGGAGGUCCAGAGCACCUGCUGUAGAGGCAGUUGGUGCAGCACAGCUCUGAGACCUUGUUGCCUUGCAAACAGCUGGUGGAGGCCCAGAAAGGGGGUCUCGCUGGGGUGGAUGUUUCUGGGGCCUGGACAUCAAGAUUUCGCAUAUAACUUAAAUAAAAGAAGAUCAAUGCUGAUGGAUGUAGGGAGCUUUGCAACCCCAUUUCCACCACAACGGACCCAAAACUUCUCUUCUAUGGGAUAUGUGGUUGGAAAACCACAGCUAUGGAGGAGGAAGACAGCAAUAGAAGCAUUUCUUGGAAGUGAUGCCUCUCAAAGCCUCGUUCUCUCAAGUCAAGCUAAGUCCCUGCUCCCUCUGGGCUCUCCUCUGAAGAACAGGUACACAGCUAUGGUCUCUUCCACAUGCAGACACGUCCUAUAGAGUUGUUGGUAUUUGAUAUUUGAAUGAGUUGCCUCAUUCCUCAGGUUUUCCCUGCUCCCAUUUCUGUGGUACAUCUUGGGCUAAACUUGCUUCUCAACUGGAAAACCACCUCGCGGGCAGAGUGGCAUGGUGGAGAGGGCAGGGCCUCUGCUUCUGACCAAUCUGACAUCUGAUUUUGGCUCUACUGGUUCCUUGCCUGGCAGUUUUGGAUAACCUGUUGGAUCUUUUUGAGCUCUGGGCUCAUCAGCAAAAAGAAGGGAAUGAUAAUACAUACUUUACAGGGGGAUUCUGAAAAUUAAGCAAGACAAAGUGCUUGGCAGGGGAGCCUGGGACGUUCCGACAGCAAGGUGGUUGUGGCUGGUGUCUGUGUUUUUUUCUGAUUGUCUCCAUGCGGGGCUGCAGUGGUGCUCACAUGAGGCCACCGAGGCUCUGCCCUGGCUGGCAGACCCUGCACUCACAGGUCCCCUCCUCAGAGCUCUCCAGCCCCAGAAAAGACUGGAGGGGAACAUCAGGAAGGAGGACUGUGCUGGGAUGUGAUGCACUGGGAGGUCUCCACAUGUGACAGAGCCAGAGGCAGUGCCUCGGUCGUGACACCAGUGCCUGGGGACCUGGUUUGCCUGGGAGCCAGGUGGGGCUGGCCCUCCUCCUGGUGGGUGCUCUGUUCCUGAGGCAUAGCUGGACUGCAGGGGAUGGGGGGCUCCUCAUGCUGUCACUGCCACUCACAGGACAGAGAGAGCUGUGUCCACGUAUCUGGAAUCUCUGAAUCACAGCCUCCCUGGGUUCUUCUGAAGGCACAUUGCACCUUCUAGAAGGGUAUGACACAGGAGGAAAGAGAGAAAAACCUCCUCUGGAGAGAGGGAAUGGCUGUAGUGUUUACUUUAUUUGAAAACGGCACAUGCUUUUAUUAAGACAUAAAUGCCAGUGAUGGAUUUUUCUCUUGGCAUGUGGCCGUGCUCCCCAGCUCUGGGGUGAGAUGGCUGGGAGGUGUGAGUUCUUACAGAGAAAUUAUUUACCACGCUGAGCUAUCCCGAGGCAGAGUAAGUGGGCAGAGGGCAGCUGGUCCCUUUGACCACCUCAUUCCAGGGAAAAUAAACAGGGUCCCUGGAACAGUCACUAAGAGAGGGGAGCAAGUGUCCUCUCUCUGCAGUAGAAUCUCUGAAAAUUCAGAUAACGUUAAUUGUACCACUGUGGUGGCAGUGCGAGAAACUCCUGUUCAUCCCGCUGCAGUGAUGAUUAAGGGAGCAAACACCCAGUCGAGGAAGUCAGACUCUGGCCCUGGAGAGUAGUUGAGGAUCGCCUGCAGCACAUUGCUCCACUCUGCUGGCAUCCUAACCAGACAGCUUUUAGUUUUAGCAUAAAAUCCAUAUUCCAGACCUUUAUGGAGCAGAGAGGCAAACUCCAACGCUGCCGUUGCAAGCAUCAAACAGCAUUAGAAUGAAUUAAGGAGAUUAAAGACUCUUGAUGCUGUUGGGGCUCUUCUCCAUCCCCUCUGUUUUCUCCAAGGACUUGUUUUAAAGGCGUGGGGGCAAAUCGGAAGAAGGGAGUGGGAAAAAUGCAAACCAAUCACGCUAACCUCACUCCGGAAUUGAAGUCUGAUUCUAUAGCACGCAUGGGUUUAAUUGGGAAGGGAGGUCUUUUAGAGGCACUCUGGGUGGGUGCAUAGACCAGUCUGGAGUUUCACAGUAUGGCUUCUUCCAAGGUCCGAGCAUGUGUCCAGGGGCCACCCCCGAUCCUGGUGGACGGGAAGACGUCUUCGGUCCGGUAGUGUGACAAAAAACCCAAGGAGGGCGUCAGAUGUGUGCACUCUGGUGUUUGGAAUUUAAGUAAAAUCUGUAAUUUUCCCCCUGCAUUUCCUCAGAGAAAUUAGCUAUUCUAUUCACUGCAUAAAUUUUCAGGUUUUGCUAGCACGACACUCAGGGUGUUGAAUUUUUUAUGACAAAAAUGCUGUAAUAAUUGUUGAACAGAUGUAAGUGUUGGAGACUCAGCUCUGGCAGACCUCACGAAACCUCGAUUAGCAAUUUAACCCUGUCCUCACCCCUGUCCGCACACCGCCUGGGAAGAGGAGUUUGCAGUUUUGAAGGGUUUCACUGGGAUGUGCACAAAGGCAGAGGCAGAGUUUUCUGGACAGCAGGGGACGUCCUUUAACGAGCUCUUAAGCUCAGCCAGAAAAGGAAGGACCCGGUGCAGCCUAACUCUGAAAUUACCACAUUACCAAGUUGUCUAGCUGGGUGAUUAAUAAACUAACUGACAUGGGGACACUUGUCACUGGCGAAGCAGCUUCAGAGCCAAAGCGAGGAGCAACUCCACAGUGUCUCCCAGGGAGCCGGGAAGUGGCAGUCUACACCCGCUUCCGGCCUCCCGGUGACACAGGCCGGCCGGGCCUCCAUUUACACCUCAAAGCAAAGUCACAGAGGGAUCCACCCCUUUCCCGGCUGCCUACACAGAAGGCAGCCAUGGGGGACUUGCCGAGGACUUUGUCCACCAAGUGAUGAAAGCAUGCAGAUGCCUCCGAAUCAAAGGUAAAUCAAAAGAAAAUGGCAGCCCGCAAGAGGGGGCGGCGGUGACAGCCCGUCAGCCGCGGAGCCACCCGACAGGCCUGGUGGCAGCGUGGAGGCUGCCAAGAGAACCGCCUGAGGAGGCUGCCGCCAAGACAGAUGUCACGGUCCUUUUCGCAAGCAGAAAAGACCGCUUAUUGGUGAAGGUGUGGCUGCUGCUGGUGAAGUUUGCAGUAUGGAGAUGCCAGAAGAUAAGAUUGUGCUUCUCAUGGCAACGCAACAAGGUGGGAGACCCUCAGCAGGCCCACAGGAAAGUGCAUCAGCCACAAGGCCUUGGGGGACCCCCAAGAGGAGGAGGCCUCUGGGAAUGAAGAGCUUUGCCCAUGCAUGUGGUGAAAAUAACUCCAAACAAAAAUGAUAAAUACCAGACUCAAAUUGGAAGUGAAAGGAUCCAGAAGAUGACACUUGCUGAGCAUAAUGGAACAGGGAUGGCGCCACAGGAGUUCUUGGUGAAGUUCUGAAGAAAGCAAAGAUGUUUUGGGGACAUAUGCAGUCUGCAGUCCUCCACAGAGACUGGAGCCCAGCAUUUCAAAAGGAAUGCCAAUUGGAAGAAUUUGGAAUAAAGAAUUACUCAGAAAUAGAAACUGUUUUGGCAGGGUUGAAAUGUUAUAUCAGUACAGAAUGAUUUCAAAUUAAUGGGCAGAAUUCAAUUUUGUUCAUAUGCAUGCUCCAGUUUAGGAAGGGAGUCAAAUGGAAGGGAUAUGUGGGGGCUUUGAGAGACACUGGGUUCUUAGACAGGUCUUCCUUCCCACAAAUUAGAAUUUAGAGACGAGUGUGACCAAAGCACCAUCCAUGGGUUUUGUACAAGUAUGUGCAGGUUCAGACAAUGACACCGACCAGGAGGGAAGCCAUUGACCGGGUCUACGUCUCUUACUUGAGGCUCUG